rnacentral:rRNA from 1 species
GGAAACGAUGAUAGCUUGCUAUCAGGCGUCGAGCGGCGGACGGGUGAGUAAUACUUAGGAAUCUACCUAGUAGUGGGGGAUAGCACGGGGAAACUCGUAUUAAUACCGCAUACGACCUACGGGAGAAAGGGGGCAGUUUACUGCUCUCGCUAUUAGAUGAGCCUAAGUCGGAUUAGCUAGAUGGUGGGGUAAAGGCCUACCAUGGCGACGAUCUGUAGCUGGUCUGAGAGGAUGAUCAGCCACACCGGGACUGAGACACGGCCCGGACUCCUACGGGAGGCAGCAGUGGGGAAUAUUGGACAAUGGGGGAAACCCUGAUCCAGCCAUGCCGCGUGUGUGAAGAAGGCCUUUUGGUUGUAAAGCACUUUAAGCAGUGAAGAAGACUCCGUGGUUAAUACCCACGGACGAUGACAUUAGCUGCAGAAUAAGCACCGGCUAACUCUGUGCCAGCAGCCGCGGUAAUACAGAGGGUGCAAGCGUUAAUCGGAAUUACUGGGCGUAAAGGGAGCGUAGGUGGCUCGAUAAGUCAGAUGUGAAAUCCCCGGGCUCAACCUGGGAACUGCAUCUGAUACUGUUGAGCUAGAGUAUGUGAGAGGAAGGUAGAAUUCCAGGUGUAGCGGUGAAAUGCGUAGAGAUCUGGAGGAAUACCGAUGGCGAAGGCAGCCUUCUGGCAUAAUACUGACACUGAGGCUCGAAAGCGUGGGUAGCAAACAGGAUUAGAUACCCUGGUAGUCCACGCCGUAAACGAUGUCUACUAGUCGUUGGGUCCCU